rnacentral:rRNA from 1 species
UACGUAGGGAGCAAGCGUUGUCCGGAAUCAUUGGGCGUAAAGCGCGCGUAGGUGGUCCCGUAAGUCCGCUGUGAAAGUCAAAGGCUCAACCUUUGAAAGCCGGUGGAUACUGUGGGACUAGAGUACGGAAGAGGCGAGUGGAAUUCCUGGUGUAGUGGUGAAAUGCGUAGAGAUCGGCAGGAACACCCAGGGGGAAACCAGCCGACUGGGCAUUGACUGACGCUGAGGUGCGAGAGCGUGGGGAGCGAACCGG